AAGCUCCCUGGCAUUGAAAGGUGUGGAAAUGGGCAGUGAAGUGAUGGUAAGAAGGCAUCUUGCACUGCUCCUUACAAGUCGCUUGAAAAUGGAGCUAUUUGUCACCCACAAAACAGAGGAGACAGCAAAAUGAGAGCUUACUGGCACAUACAUAAUGGAUAGCACCCCGUUCUUCCUUGGCAGGCCCUCUUGGUGAAGAAAUCAUUGGGAGUUUGAACCUAAAGGCAAAAUCAGCAUUGUUACAAACCGUGGGAGAAACGGGGAUUUUGGCAUUAAGAAGAACCAAAAAUGUAGCGGGGACUGUACAGCUUCACACCAACAUUGUUAACACUCGCAAGACUCAGAGAAAUAGGAUGUUUCACAGCAAGCAAAGCUUUUAAUACGUGCUGAGGCUGUAGGAUUUCAGGAUGCUGGAAGAACCGUCCUGCCCUUCUGCAGGGAGCAGGAGGUGGCAACACGGGGAAGAGAGCCUGAAGUGCUGGGAGCGGGGCUGGCUCUGCAGGAGCUCCAGGCCCUGUGGUCACCGUGGCCUGGCAGAGCUGACCUGUAACCCUCCCCCGCGGAAAGCCUUUGCCAUGAUGGGCCUUCAAAAGCGAGAAACAAGACUGCAAAGUUUCCAUUUGGUUCUUUUGAAGGAGGCCGGUACUUCGUGGGGUGUCUAGGAGUUGGCUAUUGCCAGUACCUGAGCCGUUGCUGCUUUUUGCAGCCUGCUGGAGUUGUAAAAGCACUUUUCUGCUCGCAUCUGGUGCUGCAAGCUCAGGACCGCAUUCAUGUAGGCUUUGCCUUAGGGAGAUCAGUGGUGGUGGAGUCUCUAACGAAAAAAAAAAAAAAAGCAAAAACAAAAAAACAGAAACAGCAACAACAGAAAUGAAGAAAAUGAAGAUUUUCAGGCUACAUGUCUUUUAUCCGUGCCUCUGCUGAGCUAGGUGUAUGCUUUUAUUCUGAGUUUUUUAGCUGAAGUCACAGCUAUAUGUACAGGGAACUGCUGGGAAGCUAUUCUCAUUAAAAAUGGCUCUGAUUUAUGGAAUUCAGGACACUGGGAGGAAGCUGUCCCUGAUGAUUAAAAUACUAGCUGAAUAUUAGGUUGAGAUCCAUUACUGAUUCUUUUCCAGGAUAUGAUAUUGUCUACGUUUUUUGUAGCUGUUGUUUGUUUGUUGGGUUUCUGUCUUCUGCAGCUUUGGAAAUUACAUUGUCUGAACACUUUGUCUUUAGCAAAAGAUCAGUCUGACCAUUGUUACCUUGCAAUUGCCAACAGUUUUUCUCACUGUCUUCUUUCUGGAAAAAAAAAAAAGAAAGAAAAUCA